GGAAAAUCGCGACGGGACGACGAUCCAAAAAAGAAAACGAUUUUGAAAAAUGUUUUGGAGUCGCCACCAUAGUUUAUUUUGAAAAACUAUGGAAAAAACCAUAAAAAGAUAAGACAAGAUCUGUGAAAACCAGAGAUGGGUUCGGAAGUCGGUUACGUGUAGGGAAGGUGUUAGCACCCUACAACGCCUGCCCAAAGGCAGUACCUUUAAUUAAAUACGCGAAUUUGAUGUGGUUUGCAAAAUGUGUAAUUUUCCCCUAAAAAAUAAAACUCUAAAGGAAACAAAAUAUUUUUUGUGUUUUUUUGUGCCCGACAAGGAUUGACCUU
rnacentral:lncRNA from 1 species